AUGGAAUCUCCACAUGACACCGAGCAAUCCCGCAGCUACAGGGAAGAUCCCCUGUGGCAUAACCGUAGGAUCAUGGCGUUGAAAAUGGCAAGGCUCGACCGUGGCCCCAUCGCGGUCAUUUCCACGAACACCUUCCACGCGGCCUGGACGCUGCCCUCACAGAACAGCAGGCGCAGCAGCGUCGCGAGCCGGGAGAGGCUGGGCAUUUUCCCGCCGCUGCGGACGCGCGCGAGAACGACGAGCGCCUCGGACAGCAUGCCGGCGGCGAGGAAGGCGCCGGGAUGGUUUCCCCGCCGCGGCGAGGUGGCGCGUCGGGCCCCGGCAGGGAGGGAGAGUCGGAGAGAGAAACUGAGGUAUACUUGUUGA
rnacentral:rRNA from 1 species